UCACCGUAUUAGCCAGGCUGGUCUCGAUCUCCUGACCUUGUGAUCCGCCCGUCUCGGCCUCCCAAAGUGCUGGGAUUACAGGCUUGAGCCACCGCGCCCGGCCUGUUUUUGUCUUUACAACUCCUCUUGCAACUGCUGCUAAUCAAAGUUAGAUUCCAGGCAACUUGAGUCUUUGCUCCCAUGUUAUAAUCCUUAAACUUGACCCAAAAAAACUGUCUACUUAUAUUCAUGUUGUGUCAGCUUUUUUUUUUUUCCCCAUAGAGACUUAUUACUUAGAAUGUGCUAUUAGGGAAUCUCUUCUCUGAUUGCACUCCACUUGCUGUAACACCAAAGGAUGCAGAGCCUGGUGGAUCCUACCUAGAAUCUGCAGAUAAGCCUGGGCUUUACAAAAAAGCAUCGGACUUUGGAUAGAGAAUGUACAGAAAACUAAAAAAGGUUCUGUAGCAGAAAUUGCUGGUGUCUGCGGCAGGAGAGGGCACCUGAGGACAGGGAAGGAGAAACUUACUUUUUUAUCUUCAUGGAGCAGCACAUUUUUCUAAAUCUCUUCUGCUUUAAGGGACAGAAAUGGGUCGACUUUUUCUGUCUUUUCUGCCAGUUGAUGUCAUGCUAGCAGGUAAACAUGUGGUACUGACACCCUUAAAGGCAUGUAUGUUCUCAAGAUGCAGGUAAAAAAAAAAAAAA